UGGCGGCUUUAGCGCGGUGGUCCCACCUGACCCCAUGCCGAACUCAGAAGUGAAACGCCGUAGCGCCGAUGGUAGUGUGGGGUCUCCCCAUGCGAGAGUAGGGAACUGCCAGGC
rnacentral:rRNA from 1 species